rnacentral:lncRNA from 1 species
CCUGUAGCCAUUUCCGUGGCUUCCUGGUGCCUCACAGCGUAGCCAGCACCAUGCCAGACCCGCCGCGCCUCGCUCCUGGUUUUAGAGGACAUUCUGAGCGAUUUCCUAGUGACACAGGAGCGGGCCCCACGGGGCCAGCAUGUGACCCGGAGUGGACGGACCCCGCCCCACCCAGGAAGACAGGACACAGGCCCGAGGGAGACGCUUUCCAAGAAAACCCCUCUGAAGGCAGCAGGGUCAGGAGUCCGGAGCAAGAGUGGCCAACGCCCAGUCUCUGCACUCGUGCCCGAUGGGACAGCGGCCCGCGGCCAGGAGGACACGAGGGAGAGAAACCAGUGGAGCCCCCUUGGCCGCCCUCCGCGCCCCAUGCCGGCCGCGCAGGCAAGUCUGCGGCGUGACUGCCCUUGUGGAGACGACAGCCGGAGGAGCGCAGACAGGAGGGACGCCCGGUCCGUCGGGAAACAUGCGGUUGGACCUCUGCGGGUUCGAGCCUCGCGCUAGGUGUGGAGAUGACUUCAGAUCUUCUUUAAAAAGGAAGAAAACCCUGGGAAGAAAGGCGCCUCCCCAAGUGGCUUCAGCUGCUGAAAACCUCAGCAGCUCACCACAGCCCUCGGAAAACUGCCUGUCAAGGCCCGCUCCACCUGCCGGCUCCCAGCUUCACGUGAGCGCCAAGGUCCUCCUGUGUCCUGUCCACUGCUCCUCAAGGCUCAGCCACAGCUGUGCCCCAGGGCCUUGGCACUUGCUUUUCUCUCUAGGUAUCUGCAAGGCUCACUGCUAUGAGCCUUCACUCGUUCACGGCACCACCUCAGCGAGGCCUGCCCAGCCACGACACUGGCUACUCUUUGCCCGGUUUUCUCCCGUGCUUCCUCCCGACUCGGCUGCCAGGUCCCUCCAUCAGGACAGAAGCUCCCCAAGGACAGAGGCUCCUGUUCACAUCGAACCCCCAGAGCAGCUCAGCUUCUGCCCAGCAGCCACGCUCAGCAGCCAAACUGUGGAAAGCCUAGAUGUCCAUCGACAGACGAAUGGCUGA